GCCCCCUUGAUGAAAUUGGUAGACAUACAAGACUUAAAAUCUUGGGCCCUUUGGGCGUGCCGGUUCGAGUCCGGCAGGGGGCACCA
rnacentral:tRNA from 1 species